GGUGGUUCUCGGGUGAUGCAUCCCGGAAUCGGGCUCCCUCCUCUCUGGUUCUGGGUGCGUCACCCGAGAACUGUG
rfam:Myotis brandtii contig153696, whole genome shotgun sequence.